UUUAUGGAGAGUUUGAUCCUGGCUCAGGAUGAACGCUGGCGGUGUGCCUAAUACAUGCAAGUCGAGCGAACAGACGAGGAGCUUGCUCCUCUGACGUUAGCGGCGGACGGGUGAGUAACACGUGG
rnacentral:rRNA from 1 species